AUUGAACGCUGGCGACAUGCCUUACACAUGCAAGUCGAACGGCAGCACGGGAGCAAUCCUGGUGGCGAGUGGCGAACGGGUGAGUAAUAUAUCGGAACGUGCCCAGUCGUGGGGGAUAACGUAGCGAGAGCUACGCUAAUACCGCAUACGAUCUAUGGAUGAAAGCGGGGAUCGCAAGACCUCGCGCGAUUGGAGCGGCCGAUAUCAGAUUAGGUAGUUGGUGAGGUAAAGGCUCACCAAGCCGACGAUCUGUAGCUGGUCUGAGAGGACGACCAGCCACACUGGGACUGAGAAACGGCCCAGACUCCUACGGGAGGCAGCAGUGGGGAAUUUUGGACAAUGGGCGCAAGCCUGAUCCAGCAAUGCCGCGUGCAGGAUGAAGGCCUUCGGGUUGUAAACUGCUUUUGUACGGAGCGAAAAGGCUUCCACUAAUACUGGGGGCUCAUGACGGUACCGUAAGAAUAAGCACCGGCUAACUACGUGCCAGCCGCCGCAGUAAUAC
rnacentral:rRNA from 1 species